rnacentral:rRNA from 1 species
GGACGAACGCUGGCGGCGUGCUUAACACAUGCAAGUCGAGCGGAAAGGCCCUUCGGGGUCCUCGAGCGGCGAACGGGUGAGUAACACGUGAGUAACCUGCCCCAGACUUUGGGAUAACCCUCGGAAACGGGGGCUAAUACCGGAUACGACACAGCUUCGCAUGGGGUCUGUGUGGAAAGUUUUUCGGUUUGGGAUGGGCUCGCGGCCUAUCAGCUUGUUGGUGGGGUGAUGGCCUACCAAGGCGACGACGGGUAGCCGGCCUGAGAGGGCGACCGGCCACACUGGGACUGAGACACGGCCCAGACUCCUACGGGAGGCAGCAGUGGGGAAUAUUGCACAAUGGGCGGAAGCCUGAUGCAGCGACGCCGCGUGAGGGAUGACGGCCUUCGGGUUGUAAACCUCUUUCAGCAGGGACGAAGCGCAAGUGACGGUACCUGCAGAAGAAGCGCCGGCCAACUACGUG